rnacentral:rRNA from 1 species
CCAAGGAGUCUAACAUGUGCGCGAGUCGUAGGUUGUUGAAGACCGAAGGCGAAAUGAAAGUGAAGGCACUCUUUGGCGUGUCGAGGGGAGAUCCCUUUCCACCCAGGUGGGUUGGGCGCAUCCCCGGGGCGUCGCGAUCCCGUUGCGGAUGCGACGCACCAAGAGCGUACAUGUUGGGACCCGAAAGAUGGUGACCUAUGCCUGGCCAGGUCGAAGUCAGGGGAAACCCUGAUGGAGGACCGCAGCGAUUCUGACGUGCAAAUCGAUCGUCGGAGCUUGGUAUAGGGGCGAAAGACUAAUCGAACCAUCUAGUAGCUGGUUCCCCCCGAAGUUUCCCUCAGGAUAGCUGGUGCUCGCACAAAGAACACGGAGUUUCAUCCGGUAAAGCGAAUGAUUAGAGGCCUUGGGGUCGAAACGACCUCUAACCUAUUCUCAAACUUUCAAUGGGUGAGAAGUCGGCUGCCUUAACUAUGAGCCAUGACAUGAGAAUCCGAGUGCCCAGUGGGCCACUUUUGGUAAGCAAACUGGCGCUGUGGGAUGAACCAAACGCCGGGUUAAGGCGCCCCAACAACGCACAUUUAGGAUCCACGAAAAGGAGUUGGUUGCUAAAGACAGCAGGACGGUGCCCAUGGAGGUCGGAACCCGCUAGGAGUGUGUAACAACUCACCUGCCAACAAAUAGCCCUUAAAAUGGGAGGCGCUAUAGCGUUGUGCUAUACCCGGCCGUGGUGACAGAGCUUGCCUCCCUUUGAAUGGAGUCCCUGAGGCCCCGACGAGUAAGGGGGUCGCAGCGGUGAGCGUUGAAGGGUCUGGGCGUGAGCCUGCCUGGAGCCGCCGUUGGUGCAGAU